rnacentral:siRNA from 1 species
CAUCUGUUUGACCCAAAGAGGACA